rnacentral:rRNA from 1 species
AUCCCUACGGGACGCAGCAGUGGGGAAUAUUGCGCAAUGGGCGAAAGCCUGACGCAGCGACGCCGCGUGAGGGAUGAAGGUCUUCGGAUCGUAAACCUCUGUCAGCAGGGAAGAACGGUCACUGUGCUAAUCAGCAGCGAAUUGACGGUACCUGCAAAGGAAGCACCGGCUAACUCCGUGCCAGCAGCCGCGUUAAUACGGAGGGUGCGAGCGUUAUUCUGAUUUACUGGGCGUAAAGCGCUCGUAGGCGGUAUGUCAAGUCAAGGGUUAAAUCCCCGCCCCC